AAAGUCGUAACAAGGUUUCCGUAGGUGAACCUGCGGAAGGAUCAUCAGAAGGUCUGAAAAGAUUUGAAUGUGGAGAUGGGAGAGGAAGAGGAGGGAGAGGGAUGUGGAAGGGUGGAUGGAGAGGUCAAGAGCCGAGCAAUCGACAGAUUGGUUGGUAGACAGGCCAACCCGUCCGCCACCACACCCACUCUCUCCACCACUUGCAAACCAUUAUUAAUAUUACAGACUAACAGCCAAUCAAAAGAGAAUACAACUUUCAACAAUGGAUCUCUUGGCUCUU
rnacentral:misc_RNA from 1 species